CGAGGCCGGUAUUAUUUUUCUUCAUGGCCGGGCAAGGUCAGGCCAUAAUCACCAAUAACCCAUCCUUUAAUAAAGGAUCGAAGGACAAGUGGUUCUUUAUGAUUGGAGAAUGGGAGGCCUCCAUGGCAGAGUUAGGAGGAUUACAUGCUCGAGUUCCUACCUUCUUCGCAUUCUCAAGUCGGAGCACAUGUCGAGCUGUUAUACUUAAUUAGUUUUCUUUAUACUUAUUCUGUAUGGAUGCUUGAUCUACUCUUUUCUCUUUGUGCAACCUUUCUGUCUCUCUCAUACACCAUGUUAGGAUCACCAAAGAGCGACCAGCGACUCAAUGAGAUUGUAGGAGGCUGUUCACCCUGCAGCUCUUACAGGGGUUUGGGCUUGCUCUAACAGCGAUGUCGAAACGCCCUCCAUCUUAAAAGAGGAAGCUCCCAUCUAGGCACGAGUUGGAGAGGUUAAAGAGCGUGGGGAGGAGGACGACCCCAUCAAGCUCUCCCACCCGAGCUGCCACUCAAGCUUCCCUCCCUCAGGCAAGCAAGGCCCCAACUGACACUGCCCCUGAUGUGAUCCCGGCCGAGUUCGGGGAUGGGGUUGCUAACGCUCGACCCCCUGAAAUGGUCAAGCUUGAUGUGUCCUCACCAAGGUUUGAGAGGGCUCGAGUUGAGGAGGCCCCAAAUAUUGUUGGAGCGUUUGAGCAUUAGGAGCCGACCUCUGAGGCGGCUGUCAUGGGAGGACCGCCAUCUUCCUCCCCUUCAAUUCCAAGACACCUAGUUGUACUCUUGAGUUAGGGACAAGGCCACGUGUUUGUGAAGGAGGAGGCUCUCGGGGUCAUCUCUCUUUAUUAGUUUACCUUAGACCUGAUGACUAGGUUUAAGGAGACCGAGCGCCUGUUAAACACCGCUCGUGCCGACCUUAAGGCGAAGGCCCAAGAGCUGACGUUGAUUGUAUCCUACCUAAGAGAGCUCUUAGGUGCUCUCCAUGUAUCUGAGGGAGCGCUAAAAGCGAAUGAGCGAUAAUGCUAUGUUGUGGUGCUAGCUAAGGGGGGCAUUCUAGAAAUUGAGGUGGAGAGCGAGGAAUUUGGCAGUUGAGGUCGAGGCUAGCAUCUCGACCAAGGAGGCAGUAAUGGUAGAGGCGUACAAAGCCUCUGAGGCUCAUUAAGUGGAGCUGGAGAAGGUCUUCAAUGCCGGCUUUGCUAAUUGCCAGGAGGAAAUUCAGGGCCAUUUCCUAGAGCUCUCAGCUUGGCAUGGUUGGAUGAGGAAGCAGGCUCAAGGGAGAGUGCUAUCGCCACUGCUGACGUCACUCCCAUUCCUAGGUCGGAGAGUCCUCCCCCGGCCUAGAUAUUUUACAUGUAUUUUUCCACCUCUCUUUUUUUGCCAAUGAUUUUAUAUAUCUAUCCAA